rnacentral:piRNA from 1 species
UGAUAACAGUCCACAAUCUUGCCAUGGU